UUAGGAUUUUGUGUAACUUAGUACUCUUUAAAUACUUUAUUAAGUAGAUAACUUCGCAUUCAAAGGGAAAACACUGCCAGCUCAACGAAUUCGCUCUGGAACCUGGCUAAGGAAAUGGUAAUUCGACUGGCUGUCAAUUCCUAAUGGAGAUGUCAGGUUCCACUUAAAGGUGUGAGAAUAUCUAUGGACCUCGGUGAACUGGACCCACCAGGACGUAUACAAGAUGUACGAAGAAAGCCAGGCGUAAGACAAAAAGUUAUUGUAUUAAAUGUAUGCAGAGAUACCAAAAAGGCAGAGGACAAAGGUCAACGAAAAUGUAGAGGAUAUCGGUGUGUAAAAUAUGCAUGUAUAUACGUAGUGUGUGCUACGUGUAUUUGUACCCCAAGGUGUCGGACACUUGAUUAGCCGUGACCUAAUGUUGCACUACACACAAUGGGCCAUGAUGAGCACGGGUUUUCUCCCGUGCAGCAGUGUCAAUUGGAAUUAGUUGCGCUACCAAUCGCUACCACGCACAUAUGUACAUACGUAGAUGUUCAGGGGCGGCACAAGAACAGUACUAAAGUUAACAUUUUUAUUGUAAUAAUCUGAAAACAACAGUGUCCAAACAUGUAUCGAAGAAUAGUGACAUUUCCUAAAGGUAGCCGCCAAAUCCAGUAUAAUAACCACUAUACUGCGAGUAUUAUUUCAGCUGCAACUGUAUAUAUGUAUCGAAAGGCACCGCACACUGCAUCCGAGGAAAAGAAAAAAACCGAUGAUGAGUUUGGAUGGCAAGGCAAAUGAAUUUUUUACACUUUGCUACUUGCAGCGGGGGCGAUCACAAAUUUACUGAACCAUUCGCAAAUUGAUUUCGCUUUGCCCAAAUGUGUCAACCGAACAAUAAAUGGCUUCUUCUUAG
rnacentral:sRNA from 1 species